CCUACGGGAGGCAGCAGUAGGGAAUCUUUCACAAUGGGCGAAAGCCUGAUGGAGCAACGCCGCGUGCAGGAUGAAGGCCUUCGGGUUGUACACUGCUUUUAUAAGCGAGAAAUAUGAUGGUAACUUAUGAAUAAGGAUCGGCUAACUACGUGCCAGCAGCCGCGGUCAUACGUAGGAUCCGAGCAUUAUCCGGAGUGACUGGGUGUAAAGAGUUGCGUAGGUGGCAUAAUAAGUAGCUAGUGAAAUCUGGUGGCUCAACCAUUCAGACUAUUAGCUAAACUGUUAAGCUCGAGACCGUUAGGGGUAACUGGAAUUUCUAGUGUAGGAGUGAAAUCCGUAGAUAUUAGAAGGAACACCAAUAGCGUAGGCAGGUUGCUGGGACGGUUCUGACACUAAGGCACGAAAGCGUAGGGAGCAAACGGGAUUAGAUACCCCUGUAGUC
rnacentral:rRNA from 1 species